UUUGUUUUUGAACAGGGAGACUCAUCCUCCCCUUGCCUUCCUCUCUUUCCCUCGCAAGUCCAAGGGGGCAGCUAUGGCGGCCCGACCCCCACUAGUUGGCAGCCACAAGCGGCCGCAGCCACAGCCAAACAGGCAGCCGACAACAGGCCAAGUCCGGUGGAAAUCAUAGAAAUAAAGGUGUUUUAUUUCGGAAGGAACUCUGGCGGUUGUCGGCUCAAAACCAUAGAAUCCAAAACCCAAGUUACAAAGGAAGGAGGAGGAGAGGAUGGAGAGCUCAUACUUAGGUCCGGCGGGGCUCUCUGGUGACCUUUU
rnacentral:lncRNA from 1 species